GAUCAUGGUGGCUUAAUGGUUAGCACGUUCGCCUCACACCUCCAGGGUCGGGGGUUCGACUCCCACCGUGGUCC